AGAGUUUGAUCAUGGCUCAGAUUGAACGCUGGCGGCAGGCCUAACACAUGCAAGUCGAGCGGUAGCACAGAGAGCUUGCUCUCGGGUGACGAGCGGCGGACGGGUGAGUAAUGUCUGGGAAACUGCCUGAUGGAGGGGGAUAACUACUGGAAACGGUAGCUAAUACCGCAUAACGUCGCAAGACCAAAGUGGGGGACCUUCGGGCCUCAUGCCAUCAGAUGUGCCCAGAUGGGAUUAGCUAGUAGGUGGGGUAACGGCUCACCUAGGCGACGAUCCCUAGCUGGUCUGAGAGGAUGACCAGCCACACUGGAACUGAGACACGGUCCAGACUCCUACGGGAGGCAGCAGUGGGGAAUAUUGCACAAUGGGCGCAAGCCUGAUGCAGCCAUGCCGCGUGUGUGAAGAAGGCCUUCGGGUUGUAAAGCACUUUCAGCGGGGAGGAAGGCGUUAAGGUUAAUAACCUUGGCGAUUGACGUUACCCGCAGAAGAAGCACCGGCUAACUCCGUGCCAGCAGCCGCGGUAAUACGGAGGGUGCAAGCGUUAAUCGGAAUUACUGGGCGUAAAGCGCACGCAGGCGGUCUGUCAAGUCGGAUGUGAAAUCCCCGGGCUCAACCUGGGAACUGCAUUCGAAACUGGCAGGCUAGAGUCUUGUAGAGGGGGGUAGAAUUCCAGGUGUAGCGGUGAAAUGCGUAGAGAUCUGGAGGAAUACCGGUGGCGAAGGCGGCCCCCUGGACAAAGACUGACGCUCAGGUGCGAAAGCGUGGGGAGCAAACAGGAUUAGAUACCCUGGUAGUCCACGCCGUAAACGAUGUCGAUUUGGAGGUUGUGCCCUUGAGGCGUGGCUUCCGGAGCUAACGCGUUAAAUCGACCGCCUGGGGAGUACGGCCGCAAGGUUAAAACUCAAAUGAAUUGACGGGGGCCCGCACAAGCGGUGGAGCAUGUGGUUUAAUUCGAUGCAACGCGAAGAACCUUACCUGGUCUUGACAUCCACAGAACUUUGCAGAGAUGCUUUGGUGCCUUCGGGAACUGUGAGACAGGUGCUGCAUGGCUGUCGUCAGCUCGUGUUGUGAAAUGUUGGGUUAAGUCCCGCAACGAGCGCAACCCUUAUCCUUUGUUGCCAGCGGUCCGGCCGGGAACUCAAAGGAGACUGCCAGUGAUAAACUGGAGGAAGGUGGGGAUGACGUCAAGUCAUCAUGGCCCUUACGACCAGGGCUACACACGUGCUACAAUGGCAUAUACAAAGAGAAGCGACCUCGCGAGAGCAAGCGGACCUCAUAAAGUAUGUCGUAGUCCGGAUUGGAGUCUGCAACUCGACUCCAUGAAGUCGGAAUCGCUAGUAAUCGUAGAUCAGAAUGCUACGGUGAAUACGUUCCCGGGCCUUGUACACACCGCCCGUCACACCAUGGGAGUGGGUUGCAAAAGAAGUAGGUAGCUUAACCUUCGGGAGGGCGCUUACCACUUUGUGAUUCAUGACUGGGGUGAAGUCGUAACAAGGUAACCGUAGGGGAACCUGCGGUUGGAUCACCU
rnacentral:rRNA from 1 species